GGAGUUGGCCAGGCAAUCGCCGCUUUCUAUUUAUUAGAAAGGGGAGGAAAGUCCGGGCUCCAUAGGGCAGGGUGCCAGAUAACGUCUGGGCGGCGCGAGCCGACGACAAGUGCAGCAGAGAGUAUACCGCCUAAGCACGCAAGUGCCGGUAAGGGUGAAAGGGUGCGGUAAGAGCGCACCGCGCGGCUGGCAACAGUUCGUGGCACGGUAAACUCCACCCGGAGCAAGACCAAAUAGGAUCCCAUUACGUGUGGCCCACAUGGGGAUCGGGUAGGUUGCUUGAGCCAGUGAGCGAUUGCUGGCCUAGAGGAAUGAUUGCCUCAGACAGAACCCGGCUUAUCGGCCGACUCUUUUU
rnacentral:RNase_P_RNA from 1 species